GACGCAGGAUGCAAGCGUUGUCCGGAAUGAUUGGGAGUAAAGCGUUCGCAGGCGGCUAUUCAAGUCUGCUGUCAAAGACCGGGGCUUAACCCCAGAGCGGCAGUGGAAACUGAAUGGCUGGAGUGCAGAUCGGGUAGAUGGAAUUCCCAGUGUAGCGGUGAAAUGCGUAGAGAUUGGGAAGAACACCGGUGGCGAAAGCCGCUUGCUGGCCUGCAACUGACACUGAGGGACGAAAGCUAGGGGAGCGAAAGGG
rnacentral:rRNA from 1 species